CUAAACGACUCUCGGCAACGGAUAUCUCGGCUCUCGCAACGAUGAAGAACGUAGUGAAAUGCGAUACUUGGUGUGAAUUGCAGAAUCCCGUGAACCAUCGAGUUUUUGAACGCAAGUUGCGCCCAAAGCCUUUUGGCCGAGGGCACGCCUGCCUGGGCGUCACGCAU
rnacentral:rRNA from 1 species